GAUGAACGCUGGCGGCGUGCCUAAUACAUGCAAGUCGAGCGAACAGAUGAGGAGCUUGCUCCUCUGACGUUAGCGGCGGACGGGUGAGUAACACGUGGAUAACCUACCUAUAAGACUGGGAUAACUUCGGGAAACCGGAGCUAAUACCGGAUAAUAUAUUGAACCGCAUGGUUCAAUAGUGAAAGACGGUUUUGCUGUCACUUAUAGAUGGAUCCGCGCCGCAUUAGCUAGUUGGUAAGGUAACGGCCUACCAAGGCGACGAUGCGUAGCCGACCUGAGAGGGUGAUCGGCCACACUGGAACUGAGACACGGUCCAGACUCCUACGGGAGGCAGCAGUAGGGAAUCUUCCGCAAUGGGCGAAAGCCUGACGGAGCAACGCCGCGUGAGUGAUGAAGGUCUUCGGAUCGUAAAACUCUGUUAUUAGGGAAGAACAAAUGUGUAAGUAACUAUGCACGUCUUGACGGUACCUAAUCAGAAAGCCACGGCUAACUGCGUG
rnacentral:rRNA from 1 species